GGUAGCGUAGCUAACGCGUGAAAUUGACCGCCUGGGGAGUACGGCCGCAAGGUUAAAACUCAAAGGAAUUGACGGGGACCCGCACAAAAUGAUGUGGAUUAAUUCGAUGCAACGCGAAAAACCUUACCUGCUCUUGACAUGUACCGAAGGCUGAAGAGAUUUGGCUGUGCCCGCAAGGGAACGGUAACACAGGUGCUGCAUGGCUGUCGUCAGCUCGUGUCGUGAGAUGUUGGGUUAAGUCCCGCAACGAGCGCAACCCUUGUGAUUAGUUGCCAUCAUUAAGUUGGGCACUCUAAUGAGACUGCCGGUGACAAACCGGAGGAAGGUGGGGAUGACGUCAAGUCCUCAUGGCCCUUAUGAGCAGGGCUUCACACGUCAUACAAUGGUUGGUACAGAGGGGCGAAGCCGCGAGGUGGAGCUAAUCUCAAAAAACCAAUGAGCCGGAUCGCACUCUGCACUCGAGUGCGGAAGUCUGGACGCUAU
rnacentral:rRNA from 1 species